rfam:Clostridiales sp. SS3/4 draft genome.
UGGGCUAUAGCCAAGCGGCAAGGCACGGGACUUUGACUCCUGUAUCCCGGGUUCGAUUCCCGGUAGCCUAG